UACGGGGGGAGCAAGCGUUGUUCGGAUUUACUGGGCGUAAAGGGCGCGUAGGCGGCGCGGUAAGUCACUUGUGAAAUCUCUGAGCUUAACUCAGAACGGCCAAGUGAUACUGCAGUGCUAGAGUGCAGAAAGGGCAAUCGGAAUUCUUGGUGUAGCGGUGAAAUGGCGUAGAUAUCAAGAGGAACACCGGUGGCGAAGGCGGGUCUCUGGGCAACAACUGACGCUGGAGGAGCGGAAAGCGUGGGGAGCGAACAGG
rnacentral:rRNA from 1 species